GAGGCAGCAGUGGGGAAUUUUGGACAAUGGGCGCAAGCCUGAUCCAGCAAUGCCGCGUGCAGGAUGAAGGCCUUCGGGUUGUAAACUGCUUUUGUACGGAACGAAAAGGCUCUCUCUAAUACAGAGAGCCGAUGACGGUACCGUAAGAAUAAGCACCGGCUAACUACGUGCCAGCAGCCGCGGUA
rnacentral:rRNA from 1 species